CAUGUUAAAAGAGAUGGAUAUCAUGAAGUGUCCAAUGCUGCAUAGAAUGUAUGGUCUUGGUGCAUUGAGUAUGUUCAAUGAUUACAUUUCAAUACCGAAAUUACGUUAGCAGGGACUUAAGACCAUGACAUCCUAAAGGAUCUUCUUUGUGAUGGAACAUUCACAGUUGACCAGGAAAAAAAUGAGAUAAGAGAGAUUUUAGCAGUGUAAGUUCCUUUCAGUCAAAAAAAAGAUAUGACUAGUGCAUAAUACAAUGACCUGGUUUUGACUAUUGGCAUUCAUGAUAUAACACAGGGUUUAUUCAUGUUGGAUUUGAUUUUUAAAGUUGCUU
rnacentral:lncRNA from 1 species